rnacentral:tRNA from 1 species
GGACACGUAGCUCAGUUGGUUAGAGCGUUUCCUUGACAUGGAAAAGGUCAGAGGUUCGAGUCCUCUCGCGUCCA